ensembl:lncRNA
AAAAAAAGUGUGCAGUGCAUCAACUCUUAAUUUAACGGAUUACAGUUUGAAUCGGACAGCAGCCAAACAAAUUGUGCCAGCUGAGAAACAGUUGUGAGUGGCAGUGCAGAGGAACUUCAGCAGGUGAAUUCAGAUGGAGCCCUUGGAAAGAUGAUACCCAAAAUUAUUAUUUUCGGAUAUAAAGAGGACUUGCAACUUGCAAAACAUGCGGGAAGAAAAUUACAGACGGAGGCGCAACAAUUUCCAACUUUGUUCGAUAUUUGAAGCUGCAGAAAGAACUGACCUGAGCCCUAGGCCCAUGCCUCAGGACUACCUGGCAUGAUGAUUCCUUUCUGUCCCCAGUCCACCUGGCCGUGCUGCUGCUCCAAUUUCAACUGUUCUGCCUGCGGCUAUGGAAACCUGACCUGUUCACCGGACGUGCUACCUGUCCCAGACCUGCUGUUUUCAACUCUCUAAAGACAGCAGGAGCGGUAGAGAUACUCUCACUGAUCGGCUAUGAAAAGCCAACUGACACUUACUCCUGAGGUGCUGACCUAUUGCACCCUCGACAACUACUGUGAUUAUUAUUAUUUGACCAUGCUGGUCAUUUAUGAACAUUUGAACAUCUUGGCCAUGUUCUGUUAUAAUCUCCACCUGGCACAGCCAGAAGAGGACUGGCCACCCCUCAUAGCCUGGUUCCUCUCUAGGUUUCUUCCUAGGUUUUGGCCUUUCUAGGGAGUUUUUCCUCGCCACCGUGCUUCUAUACCUGCAUUGCUUGCUGUUUGGGGUUUUAGGCUGGGUUUCUGUACAGCACUUUGAGAUAUCAGCUGAUGUAAAAAGGGCUAUAUAAAUCAAUUUCAUUUGAUUUGAUUAGUAACUGGGUAACUUCGUAAAAAAUACAUUGGCUAAAUUAAAAAAAUAUAUAUAUAGGAUACGUAUAUAAAUGGAAAGGGGGAUACCUAGUCAGUUGUACAACUGAAAUGUGUCUUCCGCAUUUAACUCAACCCCUCUGAAUCCGAGAGGUGCGGGGGGCUGCCUUAAUCGACAUCCACGUCUUCAGCGCCUGGGAAACAGUGGGUUAUCUGCCUUGCUCAGGAGCAGAACGGCAGAUUUUUAUCUUGUCAGCUCAGGGAUUCAAUCCAGCAACCUUUCGGGUACUGGCCCAACGCUCUAACCACCAGGAUAUUGUAUGUUUCUAUUAAGUGUCAUGUGCCAGGGUUGACUAUUACAGGGUCGACAACUUCAUCUUAAAUCAGCCGUAAAUCCCCUUGUGACAGGGGAAAUGGAAGCUUGUUGUGUGCAACAGGGAGGGGCAAUUGAAUGCAAGCCUCACAAAAACAAAAAACAGGGUUGAUGUGUUACGCUCGAUCCGCUCAGUUUUCCACUACAAAACACCAGAAAAUGGACAGAAAGUGUAGAACCAGCUCAACUGCUUUACACUAAGAUUUGACUAUUAGAUACGGAUGCUCAAUACAGAAGUGGUCCGAUGAAGCUGAUGCUAAGCUACAGGACUGUUUUGCUCGCACAGACUGGAAUAUAUUUCCGGAUUCAUCCGAUGGUAUUGAGGAGUUUACCACAUCAUUCACGUCUUCGUUAAUAAGUACAUUGACGACGGUGUCCCAAAAGUGACUAUAAGUACAUAUCCAAACAAGAAGUCAUGGAUUACAGGCAACAUCCCCACUGAGCUAAAGGCUAGAGCUUCCUCUUUCAAGGAGCAGGACACUAAUCAAGAUGCUUAUAAGAAAUCCCCCUAUGUGAGAAUGCUGUUCAUUGACUACAGCUCAGCGUUUAACACCAUAGUGCCCUCCAAGCUCAUCAGUAAGCUAAGGACCCUGGGACUGAACACCUCAAUUUGCAACUAGAUCCUUGACUUCCUGACGGGCCACCCUGAGGUGGUGAGGUUAGGCAACAACACAUUCGCCUUGCUGACCCUCAACACCAGUGUCCCUUAGGUGUGCGUGCUCAGUCCCCUCCUGUACUCCCUGUUCACCUCCCACUGUGUGGCCACACACAUCUACAACACCAUCAUUACAUUUGCCAAUGACACGACGUGGUAGGCUUGAUCACAGACGACAAUGAAGCAGCCUAUAGGGAGGAAGACAAGAGACCUGGCAGUGUGGUGCCAGAACAACAUCUCUCAACACGGGUAAGACAAAGGAGCUUAUCGUGGACUACAGGAACGGAGGGCCGAAUACUCCCCCAUUCACAUCAACGGGCUGUGGUAGAGCGGGUCAAGAGCUUCAAGUUCCUCUGUGUCCACAUCCCUAAGGGCCUAUCAUGGUCCAAAAACACCAACACAGUUGUGAAGAGGGCACAACAAUGCCUCUUCCCCCUCAGGAAGCUAAAGAAAUUUGGAAUGGACCUCAGAUCCUCUAAAAAGUUAUCUGUAUCCAACCAAGGAGCUACAGAGGGUAUACGGCCCAGUACAUCACUGUAGCCGAACUCCCUGCCAUCCAGGACCUCUAUACCAAGCUGUGUCAGAAGGCCAUAAAAAGUUGGCAAGACUCCAGCGAAGUCAUACUCUUCUCUCUGCUACUGCACGGUAAGCAGUUCUGGAGCGCCAAGUCUGGGACCAAAAGGCACAUGAACAGCUUCUACCCCCCAAACCAUAAGACUGCUGAAAAGUUCAUCAAAUGGCUACCCUGAAAAUGUACAUUGACCCCCUUCAUUAUGUAUUUCUUUAUCUUAAUUGAUUAGCACCAACUCCCUUGCACUGACUCUAUGCACACUCACUAGACUCUACCCACACACUCACACAUACUACACUAAAACUCCCGCACGUGCGCACACACACACACACACACACACACACACACACACACACACACACACACACACACACACACACACACACACACACACACACACACACACACACACACA